GUGACCAAAUUGAACAGGCCCAUUGUUAUUUAAAGGAGAAGGGCCUAUUUUUGAAGGGCCUUUUUCCAAUGGAUCCAGCUGAAAACAUUUAUACAACAGCAGAGACGGGCAGAGAAAAGCAGAGGUGCUGACAGAUGCAGACACCAUAUGAGCAUAAACGAAAUUCACCAUCUAGAUGCUCCAAAUCAUUCACCUACUUCUACCAGUAUCUAAUAGCAUCUCAGAUCGCUGGGAAUUAAGAUGUUGCAAUUAUUUGAUGACCCAGAUGAGGAGAAGAGACAGAGGAAUCAACUUCCACUGAGUGAGUAAAAAUCCAUAAAUUUGUAUUUCAGAGUUUUCCCUAGUUGCAACAAUAGCAGGUUUUUCACAACGAAUCAAAAAGGUUCAGAAGAACAGAAAUAAAGAGGGC